GUUGUAUAGUCAAGUAAUUAAGUGCAUGUGGUGGAUGCCUUGGCAGUCAGAGGCGAUGAAAGACGUGAUAGCCUGCGAAAAGCUCCGGGGAGGCGGCAAAUAUCCUUUGAUCCGGAGAUGUCUGAAUGGGGGAACCCACCUACUUUAAGGUAGGUAUUGCAACAUGAAUACAUAGUGUUGCAAGGCGAACGAGGGGAAGUGAAACAUCUCAGUACCCUUAGGAAAAGAAAUCAAUUGAGAUUCCCUCAGUAGCGGCGAGCGAACGGGGAUCAGCCCAUUAAGUUAUGUGUGUUUUAGUGGAACGCUCUGGGAAGUGCGAACGUAGAGGGUGAUAUUCCCGUACACGAAAGGGCACACAUAAUGAUGACGAGUAGGGCGAGGCACGUGAAACCUUGUCUGAAUAUGGGGGGACCAUCCUCCAAGGCUAAAUACUCCUGACUGACCGAUAGUGAACCAGUACCGUGAGGGAAAGGCGAAAAGAACCCCUGUGAGGGGAGUGAAAUAGAUCCUGAAACCGCAUGCAUACAAGCAGUGGGAGCACCUUCGUGGUGUGACUGCGUACCUUUUGUAUAAUGGGUCAGCGACUUAUAUUCAGUAGCGAGGUUAACCGUAUAGGGGAGCCGUAGAGAAAUCGAGUCUUAAUAGGGCGUUUAGUUGCUGGGUAUAGACCCGAAACCAGGCGAUCUAUCCAUGAGCAGGUUGAAGGUUGGGUAACACUAACUGGAGGACCGAACCCACUGUCGUUGAAAAGCCAGGGGAUGACUUGUGGAUAGGGGUGAAAGGCUAAUCAAGCCUGGUGAUAGCUGGUUCUCCCCGAAAGCUAUUUAGGUAGCGCCUCGGACGAAUACCAUAGGGGGUAGAGCACUGUUUCGGCUAGGGGGUCAUCCCGACUUACCAAACCGAUGCAAACUCCGAAUACCUAUGAGUACUAUCCGGGAGACAGACUGCGGGUGCUAACGUCCGUAGUCAAGAGGAAAACAAUCCAGACCGCCAGCUAAGGCCCCAAAAUCAUAGUUAAGUGGGAAACGAUGUGGGAAGGCAUAGACAGCUAGGAGGUUGGCUUAGAAGCAGCCACCCUUUAAAGAAAGCGUAAUAGCUCACUAGUCGAGUCGGCCUGCGCGGAAGAUGUAACGGGGCUAAAACUAUGUGCCGAAGCUGCGGAUGUAUACUUUGUAUACGUGGUAGGGGAGCGUUCUGUAAGCCGAUGAAGGUGUGUUGAGAAGCAUGCUGGAGGUAUCAGAAGUGCGAAUGCUGACGUGAGUAACGACAAAACGGGUGAAAAACCCGUUCGCCGAAAGACCAAGGGUUCCAGUCCAACGUUAAUCGGGGCUGGGUGAGUCGACCCCUAAGGCGAGGCCGAAAGGCGUAGUCGAUGGGAAAAUGGUUAAUAUUCCAUUACUUCUGUGUAAUGCGAUGAGAGGACGGAGAAGGCUAAAUCAGCCUGGCGUUGGUUGUCCAGGUGAAAGGAUGUAGGCAUGUAUCUUAGGCAAAUCCGGGGUACUCUAUGCUGAGAUCUGAUAGCAAGCUGUACUUGUACAGCGAAGUGGUUGAUGCCAUGCUUCCAGGAAAAGUCUCUAAGCUUCAGUUACACAGGAAUCGUACCCGAAACCGACACAGGUGGUCAGGUCGAGUAGACCAAGGCGCUUGAGAGAACUCUGCUGAAGGAACUAGGCAAAAUGGUACCGUAACUUCGGGAGAAGGUACGCUGUUGUUGGUGAUGGAACUCGCUUCCUGAGCUGACGACAGCCGCAGAAACCAGGCCGCUGCAACUGUUUAUUAAAAACAUAGCACUCUGCAAACACGAAAGUGGACGUAUAGGGUGUGAUGCCUGCCCGGUGCUGGAAGGUUAAUUGAUGGGGUUAGCGUAAGCGAAGCUCUUGAUCGAAGCCCCAGUAAACGGCGGCCGUAACUAUAACGGUCCUAAGGUAGCGAAAUUCCUUGUCGGGUAAGUUCCGACCUGCACGAAUGGCAUAAUGAUGGCGGCGCUGUCUCCAGCAGAGGCUCAGUGAAAUCGAAAUCGCUGUGAAGAUGCAGUGUACCCGCGGCUAGACGGAAAGACCCCGUGAACCUUUACUGCAGCUUGACACUGAACUUUGACCUUACUUGUGUAGGAUAGGUGGGAGGCUUUGAAGCUGGAACGCUAGUUCCAGUGGAGCCGUCCUUGAAAUACCCCCCUGGUAAUGUUGAGGUUCUAACUCUGUCCCGUGAUCCGGGACGAGGACCGUGUCUGGUGGGUAGUUUGACUGGGGCGGUCUCCUCCUAAAGAGUAACGGAGGAGUACGAAGGUGCGCUCAGCGUGGUCGGAAAUCACGCGUAGAGUAUAAAGGCAAAAGCGCGCUUAACUGCGAGACCCACAAGUCGAGCAGGUACGAAAGUAGGUCUUAGUGAUCCGGUGGUUCUGUAUGGAAGGGCCAUCGCUCAACGGAUAAAAGGUACUCUGGGGAUAACAGGCUGAUACCGCCCAAGAGUUCAUAUCGACGGCGGUGUUUGGCACCUCGAUGUCGGCUCAUCUCAUCCUGGGGCUGAAGCAGGUCCCAAGGGUAUGGCUGUUCGCCAUUUAAAGAGGUACGCGAGCUGGGUUUAGAACGUCGUGAGACAGUUCGGUCCCUAUCUACCGUGGGCGCUGGAAAUUUGAGAGGAUCUGCUCCUAGUACGAGAGGACCAGAGUGGACGAACCUCUGGUGUACCGGUUGUGACGCCAGUCGCAUCGCCGGGUAGCUAUGUUCGGAAGGGAUAACCGCUGAAAGCAUCUAAGCGGGAAGCCUACCUCAAGAUAAGAUUUCCCUAGGACUUUAUGUCCUCUAAAGAGCCGUUCGAGACUAGGACGUUGAUAGGUUGGAUGUGGAAGCAUAGUGAUAUGUGAAGCUGACCAAUACUAAUUGCUCGUGAGGCUUGACUAUACAACACCCAAGCAGUUG
rnacentral:rRNA from 1 species